AGAGUUUGAUCCUGGCUCAGAAUGAACGCUGGCGGCAGGCCUAACACAUGCAAGUCGAACGAGGUAGCAAUACCUAGUGGCGGACGGGUGAGUAACACGUGGGAACGUACCCUUUGCUACGGAAUAGCCCUGGGAAACUGGGAGUAAUACCGUAUGAGCCCGAGAGGGGAAAGAUUUAUCGGCAAAGGAUCGGCCCGCGUUGGAUUAGGUAGUUGGUGGGGUAAUGGCCUACCAAGCCGACGAUCCAUAGCUGGUUUGAGAGGAUGAUCGGCCACACUGGGACUGAGACACGGCCCAGACUCCUACGGGAGGCAGCAGUGGGGAAUCUUAGACAAUGGGGAAACCCUGAUCUAGCCAUGCCGCGUGAUCGAUGAAGGCCUUAGGGUUGUAAAGAUCUUUCAGGUGGGAAGAUAAUGACUGUACCACCAGAAGAAGCCCCGGCUAACUCCGUG
rnacentral:rRNA from 1 species